GUGGGGAAUUUUGGACAAUGGGCGCAAGCCUGAUCCAGCCAUGCCGCGUGCAGGAUGAAGGCCUUCGGGUUGUAAACUGCUUUUGUACGGAACGAAAAGACUCUGGUUAAUACCUGGGGUCCAUGACGGUACCGUAAGAAUAAGCACCGGCUAACUACGUGCCAGCAGCCGCGGUAAUACGUAGGGUGCGAGCGUUAAUCGGAAUUACUGGGCGUAAAGCGUGCGCAGGCGGUUAUGUAAGACAGAUGUGAAAUCCCCGGGCUCAACCUGGGAACUGCAUUUGUGACUGCAUAGCUAGAGUACGGCAGAGGGGGAUGGAAUUCCGCGUGUAGCAGUGAAAUGCGUAGAUAUGCGGAGGAACACCGAUGGCGAAGGCAAUCCCCUGGGCCUGUACUGACGCUCAUGCACGAAAGCGUGGGGAGCAAACAGGAUUAGAAACCCGGGUAGUCC
rnacentral:rRNA from 1 species